rnacentral:rRNA from 1 species
AGAGUUUGAUCAUGGCUCAGAUUGAACGCUGGCGGCAUGCCUUACACAUGCAAGUCGAACGGCAGCACGGGAGCAAUCCUGGUGGCGAGUGGCGAACGGGUGAGUAAUAUAUCGGAACGUGCCCAGUAGUGGGGGAUAGCCCGGCGAAAGCCGGAUUAAUACCGCAUACGACCUGAGGGUGAAAGCGGGGGAUCGCAAGACCUCGCGCUAUUGGAGCGGCCGAUAUCAGAUUAGCUAGUUGGUGGGGUAAAGGCCUACCAAGGCGACGAUCUGUAGCUGGUCUGAGAGGACGACCAGCCACACUGGGACUGAGACACGGCCCAGACUCCUACGGGAGGCAGCAGUGGGGAAUUUUGGACAAUGGGCGCAAGCCUGAUCCAGCCAUGCCGCGUGCGGGAAGAAGGCCUUCGGGUUGUAAACCGCUUUUGUCAGGGAAGAAACGGCUCUUGCUAAUAUCGAGGGCUAAUGACGGUACCUGAAGAAUAAGCACCGGCUAACUACGUGCCAGCAGCCGCGGUAAUACGUAGGGUGCAAGCGUUAAUCGGAAUUACUGGGCGUAAAGCGUGCGCAGGCGGCUAUGCAAGACAGAUGUGAAAUCCCCCGGGGCUCAACCUGGGAACUGCAUUUGUGACUGCAUGGCUAGAGUGCGGCAGAGGGGGAUGGAAUUCCGCGUGUAGCAGUGAAAUGCGUAGAUAUGCGGAGGAACACCGAUGGCGAAGGCAAUCCCCUGGGCCUGCACUGACGCUCAUGCACGAAAGCGUGGGGAGCAAACAGGAUUAGAUACCCUAGUAGUCC